CUUGCCCCUGACUCUGGGAUAACUACCGGAAACGGUGGCUAAUACCGGAUAUGAGGCGCCUGGGCAUCUGGGCGCCUGGAAAGUUUUUCGGUCAGGGAUGGGCUCGCGGCCUAUCAGCUUGUUGGUGGGGUGAUGGCCUACCAAGGCGACGACGGGUAGCCGGCCUGAGAGGGCGACCGGCCACACUGGGACUGAGACACGGCCCAGACUCCUACGGGAGGCAGCAGUGGGGAAUAUUGCACAAUGGGCGCAAGCCUGAUGCAGCGACGCCGCGUGCGGGAUGACGGCCUUCGGGUUGUAAACCGCUUUCAGCAGGGAAGAAGCGCAAGUGACGGUACCUGCAGAAGAAGCGCCGGCUAACUACGUGCCAGCAGCCGCGGUAAUACGUAGGGCGCAAGCGUUGUCCGGAAUUAUUGGGCGUAAAGAGCUCGUAGGCGGUUUGUCGCGUCUGCUGUGAAAUCCUCAGGCUCAACCUGGGGCUUGCAGUGGGUACGGGCAGACUAGAGUGCGGUAGGGGUGACUGGAAUUCCUGGUGUAGCGGUGGAAUGCGCAGAUAUCAGGAGGAACACCGAUGGCGAAGGCAGGUCACUGGGCCGCAACU
rnacentral:rRNA from 1 species